rnacentral:rRNA from 1 species
CCUACGGGAGGCAGCAGUGAGGAAUAUUGGUCAAUGGUCGGGAGACUGAACCAGCCAAGCCGCGUGAGGGAGGAAGGUACAGAGUAUCGUAAACCUCUCUUGUCAGGGAACAAAGACUGGGACGCGUCCCCGGAUGAGUGUACCUGAAGAAAAAGCAUCGGCUAACUCCGUGCCAGCCGCCGCGGUAAUACGGAGGAUGCGAGCGUUAUCCGGAUUUAUUGGGUUUAAAGGGUGCGCAGGCGGUCUGUUAAGUCAGCGGUCAAAGCCCGGGGCUCAACCCCGGCCCGCCGUUGAAACUGGCAGUCUCGAGUUGGAGAGAAGUAUGCGGAAUGCGCGGUGUAGCGGUGAAAUGCAUAGAUAUCGCGCAGAACUCCGAUUGCGAAGGCAGCAUGCCGGCUCCACACUGACGCUGAGGCACGAAAGCGUGGGUAUCGAACAGGAUUAGAUACCCCUGUAGUC